CUCGGCCGACUACCAACAAAAAGAAAUCUCUUCAAACGGGGAGUUUUCUACGAUGCCCAACAAAUGGAUUGCUUAUGGUCCCCUUCGAUUACGGAAUCAGAGAGUCAUUUAUUUGGAACAUGCCCCCUUGCUUGUGGUUUGUGGUAUAAAAUAUUCAAGUGGCUUGGAUUGAGCUCGUCGGUACACCCGUACCACUUUGUUUUCAUGGGAACGUUUUGUUUGGCGAUGGGAUGUGGGAAAGGGCUUAAGGGGUUGCUAACAGUGUUACAUGCGAUGUUGUGGACUAUUUGGAGAGCAAUGAAUUGAAUGAU
rnacentral:lncRNA from 1 species